UACGAAGGGGGCUAGCGUUGCUCGGAAUCACUGGGCGUAAAGCGCACGUAGGCGGUUCGUUAAGUUCGUUGUGAAAGCCCCGGGCUCAACCUGGGAAUGGCAAUGGAAACUGGCGGGCUGGAGUAUGGCAGAGGGGGGUGGAAUUCCGCGUGUAGCAGUGAAAUGCGUAGAGAUGCGAAGGAACACCGAUGGCGAAGGCAGCCCCCUGGGCUGACACUGACGCUCAGGCACGAAAGCGUGGGGAGCAAACAGG
rnacentral:rRNA from 1 species